GCCUCCCCAUCCUCUUCCUCUUUCUUCCAGCCUUGAAAACAGAUGUGAUGGCACCUAGAAGCACAGAAGCCAUUCUUCAGCCACGAGAGGCACUGAAGAGAGGCUCCACUAGCUGAAAACUCAUCACAGUGCUCAGGACAGAGGAUGUAAAGUAAACAAUUGGAGAACAUGCUCUGCAAGACAGGAGAGAUGAACUUUUUCCAUCUACAACAUACAGAAGAGGAAGCUGAGACUCCGAGAAGUUUCAUCCCACUCAAAGUCAGCAAAGGGAGGAGGAAGCAGUACCACAGCCCAACCACAGGGCUCUUUCUACACCCACAAGUUCAUCAGCUUUAAAUUCUAAUGGAAAUGAUUCUACUGGGCCUGACUGAUUGACCCGAUAUUGCUGGAUUCCACAUAUCCACGUGAUGCUGUCCCCUCUGUAUGAGGAGUUAAGUGUGGAAAAUUGUAAUGGAUGCCACAAGAAGAAAAAAAUGGAAAUGGGAAAGAAUAAGUCAAAGUUCCAACAUUUACUCCCAGACUUCAUCAUGAAGUAAUAAAAUUCUCUCUGCCA